rnacentral:lncRNA from 1 species
CAUACCUAGAGUCAUAUUCGGGAUGCAGGUUGAUCGCAGGAUCAAAUUGCACGGUAACCUUUCACUGAAGGAUAUUUUUGAUACUUUUAUCAAAAUUAUAUAUCUUUCAGAUAGACAUGAUACAUUACUAGAUAUCAAUCUUGUCUUAUGGGUUUGAUCAAAUUAAAGAGUUUAAUUCGAUCAUCAAUUAGAAAAAAUUCUAAUUGCUAAAAUCGAAUUAGCUCGAUUGGACA